rnacentral:rRNA from 1 species
GACGAACGCUGGCGGCGUGCUUAACACAUGCAAGUCGAACGGAAAGGCCCUGCUUUUGUGGGGUGCUCGAGUGGCGAACGGGUGAGUAACACGUGAGUAACCUGCCCUUGACUUUGGGGUAACUUCAGGAAACUGGGGCUAAUACCGGAUAGGAGCUCCUGCUGCAUGGGGGGGGUUGGAAAGUUUCGGCGGUUGGGGCUGGCCUCGCGGCUUAUCAGCUUGUUGGUGGGGUAGUGGCUUACCAAGGCUUUGACGGGUAGCCGGCCUGAGAGGGUGACCGGCCACAUUGGGACUGAGAUACGGCCCAGACUCCUACGGGAGGCAGCAGUGGGGAAUAUUGCACAAUGGGCGGAAGCCUGAUGCAGCAACGCCGCGUGCGGGAUGACGGCCUUCGGGUUGUAAACCGCUUUCGCCUGUGACGAAGCGUGAGUGACGGUAAUGGGUAAAGAAGCACCGGCUAACUACGUG